rnacentral:rRNA from 1 species
CCUGCCGGCGACCGGCGCACCGGGUGAGUAACACGUAUGUAACCUGCCCUAUGCACGGGGGAUAAACCCCGGAGAAAUCCGGCCUAAUACCGCGUAACACCUUUUGGGAGCAUUCCCCGGGAGGUUAAAGGAGAGAUCCGGCAUAGGAUGGACAUGCGUCGCAUUAGGUAGACGGCGGGGUAACGGCCCACCGUGCCGACGAUGCGUAGGGGUUCUGAGAGGAGGGACCCCCCACACUGGUACUGAGACACGGACCAGACUCCUACGGGAGGCAGCAG